GACGAACGCUGGCGGCGUGCCUAAUACAUGCAAGUCGAACGCAGUUGCGAACGGGUGAGUAACGCGUAGGUAACUGCCUCAUAGCGGGGGGUCACUAUUGGAGACGAUAGCUCAUACCGCAUCCUUUGAGAUGGACCUGCGUUGUAUUAGCUAGUUGGUGAGGUAAAGGCUCACCAAGGCGACGAUACAUAGCCGACCCGAGAGGGUGAUCGUCCACACUGGAACUGAGACACGGCCCAGACUCCUACGGGAGGCAGCAGUGGGGAAUCUUCGACAAUGGGCGAAAGUCUGACCGAGCAAUGCCGCGUGAGUGAAGAAGGUUUUCGGAUCGUAAAGCUCUGUUGUUAGAGAGGGUGUAACUAAGCAGAAAGGGACGGUUAACUACGGGCCAGCAGCGGCGGUAAAC
rnacentral:rRNA from 1 species